ACGCUUGAUUACGACUCUGCUACGAGUUACACGAUCACCGUCACGUGUUCUGACGCUAUCAACCCUGUGACGUCAUCAAGGACCAUCAACUUAGCAGAUGACGUAAACAUAGUCGUCCAGCGUCUUCUCAACUACAGAUGUAUCGACCUGCCCCUGUGACCCUUCAGGGGAGAAAAUAAGGUCACUGAAGUCGAGAAACCCGUUUUCUCCGGACUUCGGCUACGUUGUCGCCGGCACGUAACGACGACUUUCAGACGGCGACGUUACUUUGCACGUUCAGCGUCACGGACGCCAACGACCAGAGUAUUAUCACGUGCUUGAUACAGGAAUUUAAAGCUGGUUCGGUGGCUGUGCAACGUCAUUGGGGAAGUUCACAACUACGGACCCGGAUACGACAUGUUCUGUGACGUCACCUGUGACAACAGUCUAUGAGAUCAGAAAAAUUGCGUCACCGACCGAUCCCUAGAAACCGGAGUUCGAAGUGUGGAUCAGAAACGCCGUUACCCAGGCGUCUAUCGACUUCAAUGACUAGGCUGUUCCGCUGCCGCUAACAAUCAAGUGCACAGACGGAAACGUUGUCAAUGACAUCACGGCGACGUUUAACGUCAACAUCGUGGACUCGCCACUGGUUUUCACUGCACUGCCUGCUACCGGAUCUAACAUUUUCGACGGUCUCAAACACGCCACCGAAACCCUUCACACAUUCAGCGUCACCGAUAGCGACGACACCGUUACGUGCUCUGCAAGAGCGCCGGAAAACGCCCUUUUUGAAGUGGUCGCCGGCGUGGCACCAAGUAAUAAACUGGAAAAAUCAAUACCAAUUUAAUCCUCGUUCUGGGAAAACUGGGCUUAAUGCAUGUGCUUUAAAAGUGGUCUCUGAGCGGACCCAGGCUAAAAGGAUUUACAGUUAACGUAAGGAUGGGGGUUACGCUAAGAGCAGCGAACGGACCUUACAUCAUCAACGUCGACUGCUCAGAUGGCGACAAUGACGUCACUGCGACGUUCACACAACCAGUGAUCGAUACGCCGCCGACCUUUGUAUCCAGGAUCCCCUGAAGUUCCUCAACGUAUCUGACGCCACUGUCACGCAGACGUUACUCGGGAAGUUUACAACUACAGACCCAGAUACGGCGCGCUCUGUGACGUCACCAUCCACCACCGUGUAUGAGAUCAGAAAUGUGACGUCACCGGUGAAAGUUUCUCAGCCAGGAAAUCCUCCAGUAAGGAUAAGAAGUUUAUUGCGGCUGAUGUUGACACAUAUCUCUAUGAGGUUGGGGGAAACAUUGGUGAACGCUGCCUGCCGGACAACACGAACAUGUUUGCUCUGUACAAGGUCAAGGAACACAGACAACGCAUGAAAGCCGAUUAACCGCGUCUUAAAAUUGUUCGACAGAGACUGAAAUUCUGCUGGCAGAGAGAAUGGGCAAAACCUCGUAGUUAGCUGUUCUGACAAAAGCCCUCCAUCCCAUUUCUGCGUAUAGCUCUCAUUUCAAUUUAGAGCUCCAAUAACUAUUUUGAGCUCCCAUUUCUAUUUAGAGCUCACUUGUGUUUUUAGAGCCCUAAUGUCUGUUUAGAGUUUCAAUUUAUAUGUAUUGCUCCCAUUACUAUUUAAAGCUUCUUUGUUAUUGUAUGUUUUCUGCAAAGUAUUAUACAUGUAUUAUAAUUACUGAUGCUGGCCCUUUUUGACCCAUAUCCGACAGUGUUGUCUCAUUACAUUUAAUGUUAUGUGCAUCACAAAUGUUGCGCUAAGUUAUUUCGUGUGUUUGUAUACUAGAUGACUAUUAGGAAUAUGUACUAUAAUAGUAAAUAUGGCUAUACACAUGUUAUUAAAUACGUCUGAAGAUGAAA